GGGUUGUGAGGUUAAGCGACUAAGCGUACACGGUGGAUGCCCUGGCAGUCAGAGGCGAUGAAGGACGUGCUAAUCUGCGAUAAGCGUCGGUAAGGUGAUAUGAACCGUUAUAACCGGCGAUUUCCGAAUGGGGAAACCCAGUGUGUUUCGACACACUAUCAUUAACUGAAUCCAUAGGUUAAUGAGGCGAACCGGGGGAACUGAAACAUCUAAGUACCCCGAGGAAAAGAAAUCAACCGAGAUUCCCCCAGUAGCGGCGAGCGAACGGGGAGCAGCCCAGAGCCUGAAUCAGUGUGUGUGUUAGUGGAAGCGUCUGGAAAGGCGCGCGAUACAGGGUGACAGCCCCGUACACAAAAAUGCACAUGCUGUGAGCUCGAUGAGUAGGGCGGGACACGUGGUAUCCUGUCUGAAUAUGGGGGGACCAUCCUCCAAGGCUAAAUACUCCUGACUGACCGAUAGUGAACCAGUACCGUGAGGGAAAGGCGAAAAGAACCCCGGCGAGGGGAGUGAAAAAGAACCUGAAACCGUGUACGUACAAGCAGUGGGAGCACGCUUAGGCGUGUGACUGCGUACCUUUUGUAUAAUGGGUCAGCGACUUAUAUUCUGUAGCAAGGUUAACCGAAUAGGGGAGCCGAAGGGAAACCGAGUCUUAACUGGGCGUUAAGUUGCAGGGUAUAGACCCGAAACCCGGUGAUCUAGCCAUGGGCAGGUUGAAGGUUGGGUAACACUAACUGGAGGACCGAACCGACUAAUGUUGAAAAAUUAGCGGAUGACUUGUGGCUGGGGGUGAAAGGCCAAUCAAACCGGGAGAUAGCUGGUUCUCCCCGAAAGCUAUUUAGGUAGCGCCUCGUGAAUUCAUCUCCGGGGGUAGAGCACUGUUUCGGCAAGGGGGUCAUCCCGACUUACCAACCCGAUGCAAACUGCGAAUACCGGAGAAUGUUAUCACGGGAGACACACGGCGGGUGCUAACGUCCGUCGUGAAGAGGGAAACAACCCAGACCGCCAGCUAAGGUCCCAAAGUCAUGGUUAAGUGGGAAACGAUGUGGGAAGGCCCAGACAGCCAGGAUGUUGGCUUAGAAGCAGCCAUCAUUUAAAGAAAGCGUAAUAGCUCACUGGUCGAGUCGGCCUGCGCGGAAGAUGUAACGGGGCUAAACCAUGCACCGAAGCUGCGGCAGCGACACUAUGUGUUGUUGGGUAGGGGAGCGUUCUGUAAGCCUGUGAAGGUGUACUGUGAGGUAUGCUGGAGGUAUCAGAAGUGCGAAUGCUGACAUAAGUAACGAUAAAGCGGGUGAAAAGCCCGCUCGCCGGAAGACCAAGGGUUCCUGUCCAACGUUAAUCGGGGCAGGGUGAGUCGACCCCUAAGGCGAGGCCGAAAGGCGUAGUCGAUGGGAAACAGGUUAAUAUUCCUGUACUUGGUGUUACUGCGAAGGGGGGACGGAGAAGGCUAUGUUGGCCGGGCGACGGUUGUCCCGGUUUAAGCGUGUAGGCUGGUUUUCCAGGCAAAUCCGGAAAAUCAAGGCUGAGGCGUGAUGACGAGGCACUACGGUGCUGAAGCAACAAAUGCCCUGCUUCCAGGAAAAGCCUCUAAGCAUCAGGUAACAUCAAAUCGUACCCCAAACCGACACAGGUGGUCAGGUAGAGAAUACCAAGGCGCUUGAGAGAACUCGGGUGAAGGAACUAGGCAAAAUGGUGCCGUAACUUCGGGAGAAGGCACGCUGAUAUGUAGGUGAAGUCCCUCGCGGAUGGAGCUGAAAUCAGUCGAAGAUACCAGCUGGCUGCAACUGUUUAUUAAAAACACAGCACUGUGCAAACACGAAAGUGGACGUAUACGGUGUGACGCCUGCCCGGUGCCGGAAGGUUAAUUGAUGGGGUUAGCCGCAAGGCGAAGCUCUUGAUCGAAGCCCCGGUAAACGGCGGCCGUAACUAUAACGGUCCUAAGGUAGCGAAAUUCCUUGUCGGGUAAGUUCCGACCUGCACGAAUGGCGUAAUGAUGGCCAGGCUGUCUCCACCCGAGACUCAGUGAAAUUGAACUCGCUGUGAAGAUGCAGUGUACCCGCGGCAAGACGGAAAGACCCCGUGAACCUUUACUAUAGCUUGACACUGAACAUUGAGCCUUGAUGUGUAGGAUAGGUGGGAGGCUUUGAAGUGUGGACGCCAGUCUGCAUGGAGCCGACCUUGAAAUACCACCCUUUAAUGUUUGAUGUUCUAACGUUGACCCGUAAUCCGGGUUGCGGACAGUGUCUGGUGGGUAGUUUGACUGGGGCGGUCUCCUCCUAAAGAGUAACGGAGGAGCACGAAGGUUGGCUAAUCCUGGUCGGACAUCAGGAGGUUAGUGCAAUGGCAUAAGCCAGCUUGACUGCGAGCGUGACGGCGCGAGCAGGUGCGAAAGCAGGUCAUAGUGAUCCGGUGGUUCUGAAUGGAAGGGCCAUCGCUCAACGGAUAAAAGGUACUCCGGGGAUAACAGGCUGAUACCGCCCAAGAGUUCAUAUCGACGGCGGUGUUUGGCACCUCGAUGUCGGCUCAUCACAUCCUGGGGCUGAAGUAGGUCCCAAGGGUAUGGCUGUUCGCCAUUUAAAGUGGUACGCGAGCUGGGUUUAGAACGUCGUGAGACAGUUCGGUCCCUAUCUGCCGUGGGCGCUGGAGAACUGAGGGGGGCUGCUCCUAGUACGAGAGGACCGGAGUGGACGCAUCACUGGUGUUCGGGUUGUCAUGCCAAUGGCACUGCCCGGUAGCUAAAUGCGGAAGAGAUAAGUGCUGAAAGCAUCUAAGCACGAAACUUGCCCCGAGAUGAGUUCUCCCUGACCCUUUAAGGGUCCUGAAGGAACGUUGAAGACGACGACGUUGAUAGGCCGGGUGUGUAAGCGCAGCGAUGCGUUGAGCUAACCGGUACUAAUGAACCGUGAGGCUUAACCUUACAACGCCGAAGGUGUUU
rnacentral:rRNA from 1 species